rnacentral:rRNA from 1 species
GACGAACGCUGGCGGCGCGCUUAACACAUGCAAGUCGAACGGAAAGGCCUGCUUUCCCUUGUGGAUUGCGGGUACUCGAGUGGCGAACGGGUGAGUAACACGUGAGUGAUCUGCCCCCAACUUGGGUAUAAGCCUGGGAAACUGGGUCUAAUUCCCGAUAGGACUGCAGGGUGGUGCCUGUGGUGGAAAACGAUUUUCUAGUGGUUGGGGAUGAGCUCGCGGCCUAUCAGCUUGUUGGUGGGGUAAUGGCCUACCAAGGCGGCGACGGGUAGCCGGCCUGAGAGGGUGGACGGCCACAUUGGGACUGAGAUACGGCCCAGACUCCUACGGGGGCAGCAGUGGGGAAUAUUGCACAAUGGGCGGAAGCCUGAUGCAGCGACGCCGCGUGGGGGAUGACGGCCUUCGGGUUGUAAACUCCUUUCGACCGCGAGGAAGCCACCUGGUUGGAAGGGUGGUGACGGUAGUGGUAGAAGAAGCACCGGCUAACUACGUG